AUUUAGAACUAGGUCAUAGAUUAUUACAGGUUGUUGUAAAACAGGAAGUUUAUCGUAAAAUGGGUUUUGCUAUUCAAGCUGAGGAAGAACAUACUAAAGUACAACUAGAAGCUAUACAAACAGAACUCAAUCAUCCAACACAGUUUAAGGGUCGACUAAAUGAACU